UUAAACCUUGGAGAGAUGAAGAGUGGCAUGCCGGUGUUGGCAGUGUCCUUAGCCUUGGAGGGGAAGGCCAGCCACCGGGAGAUGACAUCCAAGCUGCUUUCUGACCUUUGUGGGACGGUGAUGAGCACGAAUGAUGUGGAAAAGUCAUUUGACAAGUUGCUGAAGGAUCUCCCUGAGCUAGCCUUGGACACUCCUAGAGCACCGCAGUUGGUGGGCCAGUUUAUUGCUAGAGCUGUUGGAGAUGGAAUCGUAUGCAAUACCUAUAUCGAUAGUUACAAAGGAACUGUAGAUUGUGUACAGGCUCGAGCUGCUCUGGAUAAGGCUACUGUGCUCCUGAGUAUGUCUAAAGGUGGGAAGCGUAAAGAUAGUGUGUGGGGAUCCGGAGGCGGGCAGCAGCCUGUCAACCACCUUGUUAAAGAGAUUGAUAUGCUGCUUAAAGAGUAUUUACUCUCUGGAGAUAUAUCUGAAGCUGAACACUACCUUAAGGAACUGGAAGUACCUCAUUUUCACCACGAGCUUGUAUAUGAAGCCAUUGUAAUGGUUUUAGAGUCAACUGGAGAAAGUGCAUUCAAGAUGAUCUUAGAUUUAUUAAAAUCCUUGUGGAAGUCUUCUACUAUUACCAUAGACCAAAUGAAAAGAGGUUAUGAGAGAAUUUACAAUGAAAUUCCAGAUAUUAAUCUGGAUGUCCCACACUCAUACUCUGUUCUUGAGAGAUUUGUGGAGGAAUGUUUUCAGGCUGGAAUAAUUUCCAAACAACUCCGUGAUCUUUGUCCAUCAAGGGGAAGAAAGCGUUUUGUAAGUGAAGGAGAUGGAGGCCGUCUUAAACCUGAGAGCUACUGAGCACAGCAACUCUUACAGUCUUAGGUGUUACCAAGAACAGAUCUCAAUUGGAACAUAUUGAUUGGUCUUAAAUAUUAGACAGUUAAGUAAGUAAAUGGUGGCUGGAACAUCUAUUUUUCUACAAAACUGGAAAAACGAACCCGGUUCUACAAGAAUGUACAACAAAAUAAAACAUGUGAA